UCCCAGAGACGUCUAGCAGGAGGAGUGCAGAGCGCCCAGGAAGAUCCGAGUCCAAUAGGAACGACAAAUAAGAGAGUAUCCAGCAAAGAAGAUAGUAACCAGAGGAUGUUCAGCAGGAGGAGAGAAGAAGAGGUCCGAGCCCAACAGAAACAGUGCUACCAAGAGCAACGAAGAAAACGGAGCUUUGCAGCGACACUGGACGGCCAGUCUGUUGACAAGGUUACAAAACAAAACAAACCCAUACGGCCACCAGCCGUAACACAAGAUAAGUGAGUCCAGUUUCUGGAGCGGCCCACACCAUUGUGAACCCAUCCCGGACCCUGAAACGGACCAGAGAACCAUACCUGGCAUGGUUACAACUGCCGGUCUCGAAGUUACAUCUGACCUGGCUCUGUGUUUAGCUGUGGCACCUUCCUGGAGGGGGGGCA